UGAUGUUUGUUGCAGGAAUAGAAAC
rnacentral:misc_RNA from 1 species